GGGUCAGUAGGUUGGUCGUGCCACCGGUACGUACUGGUCUCACUGAUUCCUCCUUCCUGAAGAACCGUAAUGCCAUUAAUUUGGUGUUGCGGGGAAACAGGACUGUUACUUUGAGAAAAUUAGAGUGUUUAAAACAAGCUAACGCUUGAAUACAUUAGCAUGGAAUAAUGAAAUAGGACGAUCGAUCCUAUUUUGUUGGUUUCUAGGAUUGACGUA
rnacentral:rRNA from 1 species